UACGUAGGGUGCGAGCGUUGUCCGGAAUUACUGGGCGUAAAGAGUUCGUAGGCGGUUUGUCGCGUCGGUCGUGAAAACUUGGGGCUUAACUCCAAGCGUGCGGGCGAUACGGGCAGACUUGAGUACUACAGGGGAGACUGGAAUUCCUGGUGUAGCGGUGAAAUGCGCAGAUAUCAGGAGGAACACCGGUGGCGAAGGCGGAUCUCUGGGCCAUUACUGACGCUGAGGAGCGAAAGCGUGGGGAGCGAACAGG
rnacentral:rRNA from 1 species